CCUACGGGGGGCAGCAGUGGGGAAUAUUGGACAAUGGGGGGAACCCUGAUCCAGCCAUGCCGCGUGUGUGAAGAAGGCCCUCGGGUUGUAAAGCACUUUCAGUGAGGAAGAACGCCUGGUGGUUAAUACCCAUCAGGAAAGACAUCACUCACAGAAGAAGCACCGGCUAACUCCGUGCUAGCAGCCGCGGUAAUACGGAGGGUGCGAGCGUUAAUCGGAAUUACUGGGCGUAAAGCGCGCGUAGGUGGCUUGAUAAGCCGGUUGUGAAAGCCCCGGGCUCAACCUGGGAACGGCAUCCGGAACUGUCAAGCUAGAGUGCAGGAGAGGAAGGUAGAAUUCCCGGUGUAGCGGUGAAAUGCGUAGAGAUCGGGAGGAAUACCAGUGGCGAAGGAGGCCUUCUGGACUGACACUGACACUGAGGUGCGAAAGCGUGGGUAGCAAACAGGAUUAGAUACCCCAGUAGUC
rnacentral:rRNA from 1 species